rnacentral:rRNA from 1 species
UAUCAAUAAGCGGAGGAAAAGAAACCAACAGGGAUUGCCCCAGUAACGGCGAGUGAAGCGGCAACAGCUCAAAUUUGAAAUCUGGCCCCCCCGCGGGGGCCCGAGUUGUAACCUGCAGAGGAUGCUUCGGGCGCCGCGCCUUCCGAGUUCCCUGGAACGGGACGCCAUAGAGGGUGAGAGCCCCGUCCGGUCGGCGGCCGGCGCCCGCGUGAAGCGCCUUCGACGAGUCGAGUAGUUUGGGAAUGCUGCUCAAAAUGGGAGGUAUAUGUCUUCUAAAGCUAAAUACCGGCCAGAGACCGAUAGCGCACAAGUAGAGUGAUCGAAAGAUGAAAAGCACUUUGAAAAGAGGGUUAAACAGUACGUGAAAUUGUUGAAAGGGAAGCGCUCGCGACCAGACUCGGGCGCGGCGGAUCGGUCGGCGCUCCGCGCCGGCGCACUCCGUCGCGCCCGGGCCAGCAUCGGCUCGCGGCGGCGAACAAAGGCGGCGGGAACGUGGCCCCCCACGCGGGGGGUGUUAUAGCCCGCCGCGCAACGCGUCGGCCGCGGGCCGAGGACCGCGCCCCUAGGGCAAGGAUGCUGGCGUAAUGGUCGCCAGUGACCCGUCUUGAAACACGGACCAAGGAGUCGUCUUCGUAUGCGAGUGUUCGGGCGUCAAACCCCUACGCGGAAUGAAAGUGAACGCUGGUGGGAGCCCCCCAGCGGGGCGCACCACCGACCGAUCCUGAAGCUCGUCGGACGGAUUUGAGUAAGAGCAUACGGGGCCGGACCCGAAAGAAGGUGAACUAUGCCUGUGUAGGGUGAAGCCAGAGGAAACUCUGGUGGAGG